UACGAAGGGGGGCGAGCGUUGUUCGGAUUUACUGGGCGUAAAGGGCGCGCAGGCGGCUCAUUUUGUCAGGCGUGAAAGCCCCGGGCUUAACCUGGGAACUGCGUUUGAUACGGGUGGGCUAGAGUUCGGGAGAGGAGAGUGGAAUUCCCAGUGUAGAGGUGAAAUUCGUAGAUAUUGGGAAGAACACCGGUGGCGAAGGCGGCUCACUGGCCCGAUACUGACGCUGAGGCACGAAAGCGUGGGGAGCAAACAGGG
rnacentral:rRNA from 1 species